AGAGUUUGAUCCUGGCUCAGAACUAACGCUGGCGGCGCGUCUUAAACAUGCAAGUCGAACGGUAGUCCUUGAGCUUGCUUAGGGAUGAGAGUGGCGAACGGGUGAGUAACACGUGGAUAAUCUGCCUCCGGGUUGGGGAUAACUGUCCGAAAGGAUAGCUAAUACCGAAUGAGAUGGUGGUUGCAUAAGCAGCAGCCAUUAAAGGUGGGGACCGCAAGGCCUACUGCCUGGAGAUGAGUCCGCGGCUGAUUAGCUUGUUGGUGGGGUAACGGCCUACCAAGGCGACGAUCAGUAGCCGGCCUGAGAGGGUGAACGGCCACAUUGGGACUGAGAUACGGCCCAGACUCCUACGGGAGGCAGCAGUUAAGAAUCUUGCACAAUGGGCGCAAGCCUGAUGCAGCGACGCCGCGUGAAUGAUGAAGGCUUUAGGGUUGUAAAGUUCAGUAAGCAGGGAAGAAUAAGCGCCGGGUAAUAUUCGGUGUGAUGACGGUACCUGCCUAAAGCCCCGGCUAACUACGUGCCAGCAGCCGCGGUAAUACGGGGGGUACAAGCGUUGUUCGGAAUUAUUGGGCGUAAAGCGCGUGUAGGCGGUCUGAUUAGUCUGAUGUGAAAGCCCUGGGCUCAACCCAGGAAGUGCAUUGGAUACUGUCAGACUUGAAUACGGGAGAGGGUAGUGGAAUUCCUAGUGUAGGAGUGAAAUCCGUAGAUAUUAGGAGGAACACCGGUGGCGAAGGCGGCUACCUGGACCGAUAUUGACGCUGAGACGCGAAAGCGUGGGUAGCAAACAGGAUUAGAUACCCUGGUAGUCC
rnacentral:rRNA from 1 species